rnacentral:rRNA from 1 species
AUGGCGCUGCCGCCACGAGCGACGAGGCGGCGAUGCUGCUGGCCAUCAGGGCGUCGCUCGUCGACCCACUGGGGGAGCUCCGGGGCUGGGGGCUCGGCGCCGCAUUGCGGCUGGAAGGGCGUGCGCUGCGACGACCUUGGCGCGGUCACCGGCCUUGACCUGGCGGGCAUGAACCUGAGCGGCACCAUCCCGGACGCCGUCCUCGGCCUCACCGCGCUCAACUCGGUCUUGCUCCGGGGCAACGCGUUCGCGGGCGUGCUGCCGACGGCGUUGGUGUCAAUCCCGAUGCUCCGGGAGUUUGACGUCAGCGACAACGGCUUCGCCGGCCGGUUCCCGGCCGGCCUCGGCUCUUGCGGCUCGCUGGCCCACUUCAACGCGUCCGGAAACAACUUCGUCGGCCCGCUCCCGGAAGACCUCGGCAACGCCACAGAGCUCAAGACGCUCGACAUCAGGGGCGGCUUCUUCUCUGGCACGAUCCCCAAGAGGUACGGCAGGCUCCGGAAGCUCAAGUUCUUGGGGCUCGCGGGCAACAACCUCAGCGGCUCUCUCCCGGCUGUGCUAUUCGAGCUCACGGCGCUGGAGCAGAUCAUCAUCGGCUACAACGAGUUCACCGGCCCGAUCCCGGCGGCCAUUGGCAAGCUCAAGAACCUCCGGUACCUUGACAUGGCGAUCGGCAGGUUGGAAGGCCCCAUCCCACCCGAGCUGACCGGAGGCGUGCCGGACGAACUCGGCGGUUGCGCGUUACUCAACGCCCUCGACAUGUCGAGCAACCGGCUCUCCGGCGCGAUCCCGACCGGCAUCGUCUCGUGCCACCGGCUCGCGUCUCUGAUCCUCGGGAGCAACCGCCUGACCGGUCAGAUCCCCGGCGCGGUGGCGACGAUGCCGGCACUGUCCGUCCUCGACCUCUCCAACAACUUCCUCUCUGGCGAGAUACCGAGCAGACUAGGCAGCUCGCCGGCGCUCGAGAUGCUCAGCGUGGCGCACAACAACCUCACCGGUCCCGUGCCGGCGACGGGGCUGCUGAAGACGAUCAACCCCGACGACCUUGCCGGGAACCCGGGCCUCUGCGGCGGCGUCCUGCCGCCGUGCACAGCCCGCGCUCCGCGGGCUUCAUCCUCCAUACCCCGGCGCUCGCACGUGAAGCACGACAUCGCCGCCGGGUGGGCAAUCGGCAUCUCGGUCACACUCGUGGUUUGCGGAGCCGCCUUCCUCGGUAAGGUGCUGUACCAGUGGUGGUAUGCCAAUGGUGCUUCACGCUGCGCCGCCGCCGAAAAGGACGGAAGCGUCUCGACGGCGUUCCAGCGGCUAGGUUUCACCGGCGCCGAGGUGAUCGCGUGCGUCAAGGAGAACAACAUCGUCUGCAGCAAGUCCAGCCACCCCUCAUGA